rnacentral:rRNA from 1 species
UACGGGGGGGGGCAAGCGUUGUUCGGAAUUACUGGGCGUAAAGGGUCUGUAGGUGGCCAACUAAGUCAGACGUGAAAUCCCUCAGCUUAACUGGGGAACUGCGUCUGAGACUGGAUGGCUCGAGUGCAGGAGAGGAAUGCGGAAUUCCAGGUGUAGCGGUGAAAUGCGUAGAUAUCUGGAGGAACACCGGUGGCGAAGGCGGCAUUCUGGACUGCAACUGACACUGAAAGACGAAAGCCAGGGGAGCAAACGGG